rnacentral:rRNA from 1 species
AUGAAGAACUUGAAAGACGCUAAGACAACUAUUCAUCCCUCAACUACGAGGGGAGGUAAGGAACUACCAUCUAGCUUUGCACUUGAUUCACCUUCUAUUAUAAACAAGCUAGCGACACCUAAACCUGCUUCUGCUAUUCGUUCCAAUAUGUCGCAUAUUAUUGAUGAUGCCACUUCUGCUAUGCAUGAUACUUAUGAUAAAACUACUUCUAUGCUUGAUACUACUGUGCCUCUUGGUGAAUUUCUAUAUGAACAAAUUUCUAAGUCUAGAGAAAGAGAAAUUAUUGAAACUGAACACGACGAUGUUAGUGAUGAUGAAAAUAGGCCUGCUAUUCCUAAGGGUUACCUUUUUAAUGCUGAAUCUACUGAAGCUAUUCUUGCUUGCCAGGAUAGUCUUGAACGUAAUAGGUUGCUAGUUAAAUGGAGUAAAGAAUCUUUUAGAGGUAGGAUGAGACCCGACCUUGCUUUUGCUACUUUACCUAUCUGUGUUUCUGAUCAGGAUUAUUAUGAUUUUUCUGGUGAUCCAGAUAUAAUUACUUUGGUUGAAUCUGAUCCUUUUUAUGGCUAUGAAUCUGAAACUGUUGUGGCACAUCUUCGUAAGUUAGAUGAUAUAGCUGCCCUGUUUACUAAUAAUGAGAGAUCGCGCUACCUUUAUUUACUCAAAAUAUUUUUGUUCUCAUUAAAGGGUGAUGCUAAGAUAUGGUUUAAUUCUUUUGAUCCUGGUUGUGUGCAAAGUCCCUAG